rnacentral:rRNA from 1 species
GAAAUUUGACAAUAGGCGAAAGCCCCAUCCAGCCAUGCCGCGUGGGUGAAGAAGGCCUUCGGGUUGUAAAGCCCUUUUGUUGGGAAAGAGAUCUUUAGGGUGUAUACACGGAGAGGGUGACGGUACCCGAAGAAUAAGCAGCGGCGAUCUUAGUGCGAGCAGCCGCGGUAAUACGAAGGGUGCAAGCGUUACUCGGAAUUACUGGGCGUAAAGGGUGCGUAGGUGGUUCGUUAAGUCUGAUGUGAAAGCCCUGGGCUCAACCUGGGAAUUGCAUUGGAUACUGGCGGGCUUGAGUGCGGUAGAGGGAAGUGGAAUUCCCGGUGUAGCAGUGAAAUGCGUAGAUAUCGGGAGGAACAUCCGUGGCGAAGGCGACUACCUGGACCAGCACUGACACUGAGGCACGAAAGCGUGGGGAGCAAAC